GCCGAGGUGGCGGAAAUGGCAGACGCGCAUGACUCAGGAUCAUGUGGGUUUACACCCGUGCGGGUUCAAGUCCCGCCCUCGGCACCA
rnacentral:tRNA from 2 species